rnacentral:rRNA from 1 species
UUWAGACGAGAAGACCCUGUGGAACUUCAAGUAUUAACCAACAUACUUCCUCAUCUCUACCCUAAGGGAAAAAACAAGCCGAAGUAUCCCCUGGUUAUUGCUUUUGGUUGGGGCGACCUCGGAGCAAAACAAAACCUCCGAAAAGAGUAUAUUCUCAUACCAAGAAUUACACCUCAAAGUGCCUUAAAGCAAAACGAUCCAAUAUAUUUGAUCAACGAACAAAGCUACCCCAGGGAUAACAGCGCAAUCCCUUCUUAAAGUCCAUAUUGACGAUGGGGGUUUACGACCUCGAUGUUGGAUCAGGACAUCCUAAUGGUGCAGCCGCUAUWAAGG